UUAUUAUUUAUGAUUAUUAUCAAUAUUAUAUUUUAAACAUGUAAAAUUUUGUAUUAAAUAUUUAUAUGCCCAAAAAAUAUUAAUUUAUUUCACAUUUUCCUGAAAAUAACAUCACAAAAUUUCAAGUAAAACUUUCAGUUAUCAAAAUGGGUGAUUUUAAAUACGCUAUGCGCAUUUUUAGAAUCAUAGUUGGUUUAAUUAUUAUUACUAUACCAUUUUUAACGCUAAUUGUUCUUGUGAUGAUUGCCCCUCUGUGUUGGGAAAAAAUUGUGCUAUACAUGUCGAAGUCAUACAAUCGGUUUUUAAUGGCAGCAGAUAAGAUGUCGCAAACAUUAUGAAGCCACAGGGAGUUCAAGUGCACAACCCAUUUGGCGCCUACAUUUUGAAAAGGUUGUUUCUGUGAAAAGCUAAUGUAAUUUUAUGAAUUUUAUCGUAA